GACGGACGCUGGCGGCGUGCUUAACACAUGCAAGUCGAACGGUAAGGCCCUUCGGGGUACACGAGUGGCGAACGGGUGAGUAACACGUGGGUGAUCUGCCCUGCACUUCGGGAUAAGCCUGGGAAACUGGGUCUAAUACCGGAUAGGACCCUGGGAUGCAUGUCCUGGGGUGGAAAGCUUUUGCGGUGUGGGAUGGGCCCGCGGCCUAUCAGCUAGUUGGUGAGGUAACGGCUCACCAAGGCGACGACGGGUAGCCGGCCUGAGAGGGUGACCGGCCACACUGGGACUGAGACACGGCCCAGACUCCUACGGGAGGCAGCAGUGGGGAAUAUUGCACAAUGGGCGCAAGCCUGAUGCAGCAACGCCGCGUGAGGGAUGACGGCCUUCGGGUUGUAAACCUCUUUUAGUAGGGAAGAAGCGAAAGUGACGGUACCUGCAGAAAAAGCACCGGCUAACUACGUGCCAGCCGCCGCGGUAA
rnacentral:rRNA from 1 species